GANACCGGGAGAAAUCCCGCCUAAUACAACAUAAUGCCGGGAGGGGACAUCCCCUGCCGGCCAAAGGGGGCGACCCCGGUCACGGAUGGGCAUGCGGCGCAUUAGGUAGUUGGUGGGGCAACGGCCCACCAAGCCGACGAUGCGUAGGGGUUCUGAGAGGAAGGUCCCCCACAUUGGAACUGAGACACGGUCCAAACUCCUACGGAAGGCAGCAG
rnacentral:rRNA from 1 species